rnacentral:rRNA from 1 species
AGGACGAACGCUGGCGGCGUGCCUAACACAUGCAAGUCGAACGGACAGGGGAGCUUGCUCCCCAAGUUAGUGGCGGACGGGUGAGUAACACGUGAGCAACCUGCCCUUCGAGGGGGACAACAGCUGGAAACGGCUGCUAAUACCGCAUGAUGUAUCCUGGAGGCAUCUCCGGGAUACCAAAGAUUUAUCGCCGAAGGAUGGGCUCGCGUCUGAUUAGAUAGUUGGUGGGGUAACGGCCUACCAAGUCGACGAUCAGUAGCCGGACUGAGAGGUUGAACGGCCACAUUGGGACUGAGAUACGGCCCAGACUCCUACGGGAGGCAGCAGUGGGGAAUAUUGGGCAAAAUGGGGGCAACCCUGACCCAGCAACGCCGCGUGAAGGAAGAAGGCUUUCGGGUUGUAAACUUCUUUGACGAGGGACGAUAGUGACGGUACCUCGAAAACAAGCCACGGCUAACUACGUGCCAGCCGCCGC